GGAAUUUUAGUAUAAUGGCAAUACGUAUGACUUUUAAUCAUUAUGAUAUAGGUUCGAAUCCUGUAAAUUCUA
rfam:Triticum urartu cultivar G1812 contig140066, whole genome shotgun sequence.